rnacentral:rRNA from 1 species
UACGGAAAGUCCGGGCGUUAUCCGGAUUUAUUGGGUUUAAAGGGUGCGUAGGCGGACUGUCAAGUCAGCGGUAAAAUACGGGGGCUCAACCUCCGCCCGCCGUUGAAACUGGCGUUCUUGAGUGAGCGAGAAGUAUGCGGAAUGCGUGGUGUAGCGGUGAAAUGCAUAGAUAUCACGCAGAACUCCGAUUGCGAAGGCAGCAUACCGGCGCUCAACUGACGCUCAUGCACGAAAGCGUGGGUAUCGAACAGG